rnacentral:piRNA from 1 species
AGAGCAGAGAGAUUGGACU